rfam:Triticum aestivum genome assembly, contig: Triticum_aestivum_CS42_TGACv1_scaffold_621521_7DS
AAGGAGCUCCUUCCGUUCGAAAAUACUUGUCAUCAAAAUGGACAAAAAGAGAUGUAUCUAGAACUAAAAUACAUCUAGAUACAUCCUCUUUUAUUUAUUUUGAUGACAACUAUUUCCGGACGGAGGGAGUAAUAU